AUAUUUAAUAUACUUGAGAUCUCAUGAUCGGGAAGGUGAUUUUCCCUGGGGAGGUUCAUCCAUUGUAGUCUAGAUGUGAUGACCCUUCUGACUUCCCCAAACAGGAAGCCCCAAACAAUUUAUGAAUGCCUUGGUGGUGGUCCAGGA
rnacentral:snRNA from 14 species